rnacentral:rRNA from 1 species
CUGACGCAGCGACGCCGCGUGGAGGAUGAAGGUCUUCGGAUUGUAAACUUCUGUUAAGUGGGAAGAAAAGCCUCUUUCUAAUACAGAGAGGUAAUGACGGUACCAUUAAAGAAAGCACCGGCUAACUUCGUGCCAGCAGCCGCGGUAAUACGAAGGGUGCGAACGUUAUUCGGAAUAAUUGGGCGUAAAGGGUGCGCAGGCGGCGCGCUAAGUCAACCGUUAAAGUCCCCGGCCUAACUGGGGGUAUGCGGUAGAUACUGGCGUGCUAGAGUAUGGAAGAGAGAAGUGGAAUUCUCGGAGUAGCGGUAAAAUGCGUAGAUCUCGAGAGGAACACCGAUGGCGAAGGCAGCUUCUUGGUCCAUUACUGACGCUCAUGCACGAAAGCGUGGGGAGCAAACAGGAUUAGAUACCCUGGUAGUCCACGCUGUAAACGAUGAUCACUAGACGUUGGCUUUGCUUAGCAGAGUCAGUGUCGUAGCUAACGCGUUAAGUGAUCCGCCUGGGGAGUACGGUCGCAAGAUUAAAACUCAAAGGAAUUGACGGGGGUCCGCACAAGCGGUGGAACAUGUGGUUUAAUUCGACAAUACGCGAGGAACCUUACCUAGGCUUGACAUGUUUUUGACAGCUCUAG